rnacentral:rRNA from 1 species
CACGUAGGGGGCGAGCGUUGUCCGGAUUUAUUGGGCGUAAAGAGCUCGUAGGCGGCUCAGUAAGUCAAGUGUGAAAACUCCAGGCUCAACCUGGAGACGCCACCUGAUACUGCUGUGGCUAGAGUCCGGUAGGGGAGCAUGGAAUUCCUGGUGUAGCGGUGAAAUGCGCAGAUAUCAGGAGGAACACCAGUGGCGAAGGCGGUGCUCUGGGCCGAAACUGACGCUGAGGAGCGAAAGCGUGGGGAGCAAACAGG